rnacentral:tRNA from 1 species
GUGCUGUAGCUCAGUUGGUAGAGCAACGGACUGAAAAUCCGUGUGUCACUGGUUCAAUUCCCGUCA